UAAUUUAUGAUUGUCGGCCAUGGGCAGAAGUAUGGCGUGCAUUUGGUGUGCCAUCGACUGAAGUAUGAUUGUGAUUGAUCCAAUACUAAAAUCAGAUCAAGAUGAUGAACCGUGUUUGAUUGAAGGAUAUUUGCAAUAGUUGCAUGUAUGAAACAUAAUAUUUAUGAUGUCAGUGGUGCAUUUGAGACGUGGUUGCUGGCCAAAGAUGGAAAUAUAAUAUAUAUUUGGCUUGCCACA
rnacentral:lncRNA from 1 species